UAGUUAAUGCAGUCUCAGGUCCCUUG
rnacentral:misc_RNA from 1 species